GAGAGAGCUUGCUCUUCGAUUCAGCGGCGGACGGGUGAGUAAUGCCUAGGAAUCUGCCUGGUAGUGGGGGACAACGUUUCGAAAGGAACGCUAAUACCGCAUACGUCCUACGGGAGAAAGCAGGGGACCUUCGGGCCUUGCGCUAUCAGAUGAGCCUAGGUCGGAUUAGCUAGUUGGUGGGGUAAUGGCUCACCAAGGCGACGAUCCGUAACUGGUCUGAGAGGAUGAUCAGUCACACUGGAACUGAGACACGGUCCAGACUCCUACGGGAGGCAGCAGUGGGGAAUAUUGGACAAUGGGCGAAAGCCUGAUCCAGCCAUGCCGCGUGUGUGAAGAAGGUCUUCGGAUUGUAAAGCACUUUAAGUUGGGAGGAAGGGCAUUAACCUAAUACGUUAGUGUUUUGACGUUACCGACAGAAUAAGCACCGGCUAACUCUGUGCCAGCAGCCGCGGUAAUACAGAGGGUGCAAGCGUUAAUCGGAAUUACUGGGCGUAAAGCGCGCGUAGGUGGUUUGUUAAGUUGGAUGUGAAAGCCCCGGGCUCAACCUGGGAACUGCAUCCAAAACUGGCAAGCUAGAGUACGGUAGAGGGUGGUGGAAUUUCCUGUGUAGCGGUGAAAUGCGUAGAUAUAGGAAGGAACACCAGUGGCGAAGGCGACCACCUGGACUGAUACUGACACUG
rnacentral:rRNA from 1 species